GGGCACAUGGUGUAGUUGGUUAUCACAUCCGCUUAGCAUAACAAUUUGGAAGAUUGUUGUUCCUUUGCGGGGGGUGCUGGGUUCAAUUCCCAGUGUGUCCA
rnacentral:tRNA from 1 species